UACGUAGGGGGCAAGCGUUGUCCGGAUUUACUGGGCGUAAAGCGUGCGUAGGCGGUUCGUUAAGUCUGUUGUGAAAGCCCCGGGCUCAACCUGGGAAUGGCAAUGGAUACUGGCGAGCUAGAGUGUGUCAGAGGAUGGUGGAAUUCCCGGUGUAGCGGUGAAAUGCGUAGAGAUCGGGAGGAACAUCAGUGGCGAAGGCGGGUCUCUGGGCGGUAACUGACGCUGAGGAGCGAAAGCGUGGGUAGCAAACAGG
rnacentral:rRNA from 1 species